GCCAGCAUGGCAUAGUGGUUUGUGUGUUGGACUAUUACUCGGAAAAUCAGGGUUCGAAUUCCACUCAGCCA